AAGACUGGCCAUCUCUACCACAAGGUAGACUUUUUAGCUAGCCCUAGUGUCCAAACCGCAUGGCUAGAAGCAACUGCUCAGCUGCUAGUCACCAGAAUCGCGCACCUGCACCUAUACAGUCUCUAUCAAGCCAGUUGCAAACCCAACUCCAUCUGCUUCAUGCCUAGUUCCAUUUGUUGCUGCGUGUUAAGUUCCUUUGCCACGCACCCAGCAACCUUCACAACACAGCCACAACCCCUCACUUGGCACGUCUGUACCUGACAGCCCUUCUUUCCGCCAUUGCUGCUCUCUGCACAACAGCAAUGCCUUGCACACCCAGCCACCACAGCACAUAGCCCUGUGUGCUCAACCUUUGGAAAGUCUAGCAGGUAAUCUCGCUCCUAUUACUUCUUAUUUGUUCUUAAUUACAGUGAACUGUUUUGAAAUAUGUUGGAAGUUACUUCUCAAUCUACUGACACAAACUCGCCAAUCAGAAACUCAACACAGAACAAUGGCGAAUGUCAAUAGAUCUAGGCUACCUACCUCUUCAGCGGGAAAGAUUACCUAAAUUGUUUANNNNNNNNNNNNNNNNNNNNNNNNNNNNNNNNNNNNNNNNNNNNNNNNNNNNNNNNNNNNNNNNNNNNNNNUAAUUGGUAUUAUAAAUAUGUAUGAUGAAUACCAGAGUCAUCAAUGAAAAAAUCUAUUCAGUCCUCAAAUUUUUACAUCUUUUUUCUUUUCCUCUCUCUCUCUCUCUUGCUUCUCAUUCUUUUAUCGAUCUUACUUCUAGCUCACAGCUAAAACCUAAUGAGACAAGAGCUUGACAAUGUGGUAUUAGUGUAUAACGACCCUCAGCCUCCUGUUAAUACCACUGCUAGACUAGCAAAAAGAAAAGGCAAGACAACCAUGACGGACUCACGGAGGAUGUCUCAACUGGAAGACAUUUUCAGAAAUAUUGACCAACCAUUCCAGGAGUUUAUGGCACAGAUGUACGAAGUGAUAGACGUGAGAAUGGCAGAAGCUAGCUCCAAAAUGCAAACAAUGGUGGUGGACACAAUAAAAACUCUUCUUGGCCAAAAACUCACUCCUGCAUUACUGACUCAGAAUUCCAUCCAAACGACCCAGAACUCUAACAACUCCAAUGCACCACUAUCAUCACCAACCCCCCACUCCUUUUCUUCGAAUGGUGGGCAGGCACUAACCUCUCAACCAACAUAAUACCUACAAUGGUUUUCUGGUCUUACAGUCUUCUUAAGUUCCCUCCCCAGUGAGAGACAUCCUAUCUACUAUAGGAGCCCAAGAUCAUAUCAGGUCUAAUCCAAAUACAAUUGGUAAUGCAGAAGGGAACAUGACAUCCAUGUGUUUGGUAUCCUCCCCAGUGACACUUCACAAUGACAAUCCUCUUCUCCGUUUAUCUUAAAAAAGGGGCUAAUACAAAUACCUAGCGGUACUUAGGAGGGAACACGACGCGCAUUUGAUAUCCCAUCUUUGAAAGAACAAAUCCAUGAGCAUGGCUAAGACGCAGUCGCAAACACUUCCAGGUCUAUGGAACAUCAGAGGAGAGGAAGGUAGAGAUAACUAUCUUAUACUUCGGUUGAAAUACCAAACACAUGGUAUUAGGGAUAGCAAGCGCAGGUAGCUGGAAAAGAUUGGAGGAUAUUUGAAGAGGAACUAUGCAGAAGGUUUGUAGAUCCAUGAGUUGCUAACAUCAUUGAUGAGUUCAACAAACUUGCUCAAAAAGGACCACUGCAAGAAUACCAAAUUUUUUUGAGGAACUUGACUCCUUACAACCAAGGAGAGAGUAGGAUCAUUCCAUUACUUUGAUAUCAAGGACACCUGUAAACAUCAGACCUUAUAGGUAUCCUUAUUCCAGAAGACAAAAAUUAAGAGAUAAAUUGCAAAGAUGCUGGAUCAUUCAGUCUAGUCAUAACCCAUCUGCAUCUCCAGUGCUCCUAGUUAAGAAGGACGACUCAUGGAGAUUCUGCAUCGACUACAAAUAGCUCAAUGCAAUCACAGAAAAAAAGGAAUUCCUAAUACCUUCGAUUGAUGAUUUGUUGUAUAAAUUACAUGCGGCCAUGGUCUUUUACAAGAUGCAUUUAAUGUCGUGCUAUCACCAUAUCAAAAUGAAGUCAGAAUACGCAUACAAGACAACCUUCCGAAUACACCACAAGUAUUUCAAGUUCAAAGUCAUACUUUUGGCUUGAAUAAUGUACCAUAGACAUUUUAGUUCUUAAUGAAUCAAAUAUCCCGGCUCUACAUAAGACGGUUUAUGUUAGUGUUUUUUGAUGACAUAUUAAUUUAUAGUAGGACAAUGAAGCAGUACUAGGAGCACUUAGAGAAGGUCUUUCAAACGUUAAAGCAACAUAGGGUAUUUGUGCGCUAGUCCAAGUGCUGUUUUGGAAGGAGACAAGUUGAAUGCUUGGAGCAAAUCAUCACAAGAGAAAGUGUUAAGAUAGAUCCCUCAAAGAUUGAGACCAUGGUCACUUGGCUGAGACCCACUACUGUAAAGGGAUUGAGGGGAUUCCUCGGAUUGAUAUGAUAUUGCAGGAAAUUCGUGAACGGUGCCAUAAAUGGACCCUUAACGGAAUUACUCAAAAGAGAGACACCUCCAAUGGAAUGAAAUAGCUGAGGAGGCCUUUGAGAAGCUCAAGAUGCAAUGACCAGUGCCCCUAUCCUUGCCUUGCCCAAUUUUGUAGAGAUCUUUGUGAUAGAAGUCGAAGCUUAUAACAUAGGAAUGGGGGCACUCCUAUCACAAGUAGGGAUAUCACAAGUUUGAGAGAUCGAUAACAUUUAUGAGUAAAUUCUUAAGUGCAAAGAAUUAGAUUGUCUCAACAUAUGAAAAAAAAUUGCUCUCAAUUCUUAUGGGAGCGAGCAAGUGGAGGCACUAUCGUGAAAACAGAAUUCAUCAUUAAAACCAACCAACAAGGCAUUAAAUACCUCUUAAAGUAACAAAUCUAGCCUUUUAUGUAGGUCAAGGGAAUUAUAAAGUUAAUGGGGCUCGACUACAAGAUUAUGUACAAAAAGGGAAUUGAGAACAAGGCAGUAAAUGCUCUAUCCAGAAGAGAGGUGCAUGAAGGAGGAGAAUUGUGUAUAGCAACAUCAACAAUUGUUCACACUUAGAUGGAGAUCCAACAAUCAUACCAAGGGGAUGAAAUAGCUGAAGACCUCUUAUGCGACCUAAUGCUGUGAUAAUUUAAGAGAUUUUGAGUAAAAAUUUUGUUUCUCAUAUGGAGGAGAAUUCUCAUUAUAUAUACAAAUAUACAAACUAACUUUUAACCUCCUAAAUUAGCUAAACUAUCAUAUAUAAAUCUGUCAUAUCAUUAAUAUAUUCUAACAUAAGGACAGAAUAAAAGAUAUAAAUAUAGAAAAUAAUUAUUAAAGUUGUACAAGGCAUAAACUAGGAAUAAAAUAUGCUAGACUUAUAAUUGCCAGUUAAUUCAUAUGACAUUCAAGGCAUAAAAUCUGCUUGCUAAUUGCAUAAUCUGCUGGUCUUAUAAUUGCAUAAAAUUUGCUGGAUUUAUAAUUGCCAACUAAUUCCUUUAACAUCCCCUCUUAAAUUGAUGUUAGUACAUUUAAAAGUAUCAAUUUGCUAAUAAGAAAAAUUAUGGUGCUAACAAGUCAUAGAUUUGGUGAAGAGAUCUUCAAUAUGUAGAUUUCCUAGUGUUUGUACACUUUACCCAAUCACUUCUGCAAUCUGUAGACUUCUUAAUGUUUGAACACCCUGCCUAAUCAACAUCACUAUGGACUUGUACUUGGAGAGAAUGACCACUAAGAAAGGAUAACCCACGUCUAGGAGUGCCAUAAAUAUACUUGAUAAUUCGACAAACUGCUGAUAGGUAGAGACGCCGAGGAGCUUGCAUGAAUUUGCAGACGAUGUGGACAAUAUAAAAAAUGUCCAGUCAUGUGAUGGUUAAUUAAAUGAGACUACUAACAACUUCCGAUAUAAAGUAGGAUCCUCAAGAAGUUUUCCUUCAUUACGUUGAUAUUUCACAUUAAUUUGUAUAAGAGUAUCAACAGAUGUGUUUGUGAGACCAACUAAUUUAAUUGGAUUUUAAAUAUACUUUUGUUGAUUCAAAAAAAUACCUUGAGACUGAUGACGCAUCUCUAACCCCAAGAAGUAGGUGAACUACCUAAAGUCUUUUAUGUGAAAAUAAGAGUGCAACAAAUUUUGAAUUUCAGAGAUGCUCUCCUUAUUAAACUCAGUAAUAACUAUGUCAUCCACAUAAACAAAAAGUAUAACUAAACCCUUAAAUGUCAUUUGAAGAAAAAGUGAGGAGUCAUACUGAUUUUGAGUAAAUGAAAAACCAAGAAAAGUUGAUUUGAACUUUUCAAACCAUAUCUGCGGUGUCUACUUCAAGCCAUAAAAAAAACAUUUUAAUUUACAAAUAACAUUAGAUGAGGAAAUAAGCAUACCAUGCAGAAGUUUUACGUAAACUUCCUCUUUAAGAUCAUCAUGUAAGAACACAUCCUUAAUAUCAAUUUGAUGUAGAGACUACGACUGAGAUGCAGUAAGGAUUAGUAUGGUGUGCAUGGUUGUCAUCUUGUCUACUUGUGCAAGGAUUUCAUCAUAGUCUAGGCCAUACUUCUAUUUAUUGUCAAGAAUUACCAAUCGAGUCUUGUAAUGGUUUAUGGAUCCAUGAGAUCGAAAUUUUAUAGAAAACACAAGUUUACUUCCAAUGAGUUUCAUAGAUGGGGCACACGAAACAACAUCCCAAGUUUGGUUUUCUUCGAGUGCUAGAAAUUCUGAUUCAGUAACUUGUCACCAGCAUCAUGCUCCAUUUUGCAUGUUUGUAUGAGGGAAUAAGAAUAGAUGAUAAAGUGGCUGUCAAGGAGAAAGGAGGGGUGAGACAAUACCUAUAUAGUGGUCUAUGAACAUAAGUAUUGCGUCUAAGAGGAGUAAGUGCAGCUUUGGAACAUGAUCAACAGUCAAGGAAUGAGUUGGAGAGGACUUGUUAGGUGUAGAAGUUUGAUAUGAUGUUUUGAAUAUGCAUCACUGAUAUACUAAGAAAAGUUUAGAAGGUACAAGAUCUGGAGAAGAGUUAACAAAUCAUGAUAAAAUAGAAAAUGAAGGAGAAAUAAAAUCAUGGUGGGUAGCAAAAAAAUAUUAAUUUUCGAAAAAUGUCAUAUUUUUAGACACUCGAAUACAACUCAGAUUAGGAUCAUUACAAAAAAAACCUUUAUGGUAUACUGAAUAUCCUAAAAAUAAACAUUGAAUUGAUUGAGCUGUGAGUUUUAUAUGUUCAUGUGCAGGAAAAUGUACAAAACACACAACCAAAAGUACAAAGUUAAAAUAAUUUAGAAUACGACCAAAUAACUGAGUGAAAGGAGAGACAUGAUUCAAUGAGGAAGAGGACAACUUGUUGAUGAGGUGUACAACAGUGGAGAGAGUUUCACACCAAAACUGAGAGGGUACAAAUGACUCUAAUAGAAGGGUGCGAACAACAUCAAGAAGAUAACAAUUCUUUCUCUCUAUCAUCCCAUUUUGUUGUGGGUUUGAUGGACAAGAUCGUUGAGAGACUAUACCAAUAGAUUGUAGAAACGUUUGAAAAGAGUGAGACAUGUACUCACCCCAAUUGUCAAAGUAAAAGAUUUUAAUUUUAGCAAAAAAUUGGGUUUGAAUAUGUGCAUGGAAAAGUUUAAGAACAAAAAUAUUUCGUUCUUAGAAUGAAGAAAAUAGAUCAAUGUGAGAUGAUUAUACUCAUCAAUAAAAGUGACAAAAUACUUUCAAUUAGCAUGAGAAGUAAUUGGUGCCAUACCCCAUUCCCCCACAUUACUAUGUAUCAUAUCAAAAGACUCCAUUUGGUCUGUGAGUGAGAAAGGGUAAAGUUUUAUUUUUGCCAAACUUAUAAGAAUUGUAAUCAAAUUGAAUAUCACGAAGAGAUUGUGACUUUUUAUUCCCAAGUAUAUAAGAAUUUAGUAAAACAUAGAGUAUAUUAGAGUUUGAAUGCAUGGGACAUUUAUACUAUUAGAGUUUGGAUGUAUGAGAUGUUUAUGUCAUGUUCGAUAAUCAACAUGUGCAGAAUUACAAGCGAUAGAUGAUAAAGAGAAACAUGGAGACGAAGGAAAUGAAAGAGGAAAAAAAUGUCUUAAUUUAGGUCUUAUUACAAUUAUCUUCCCUGAUUGUUGAUCCUGCACAAUACAACUAGAUUUAGAAAUUUUUACUUUAUAAUUAUUAUCAACCAACUGACCGAUAGAAACGAGAUUACUAAUAAGAUUAGAAGAGACAAAAACAUUAGCUAGAGAAUAAGAAAUGUCACCAGUGACUAUGAUAGGUAAAUGGAUCCCAUCAGCUGUAUAAAUCUUGAAAUUUUUAGAGUAUUUCUUUGAAUUGAUAAGAAAAUUAGGAUUGUUGAUCAUAUGGUUAGAGGUAAUAGAAUCAAAAUACUAAGGAGAUGAUGUUGAGAAAAGUUUAUCUAAGAGUUUGAAGCAGAAAAUGCAGAGAUGAUCAUUUGUUGAUUCAUUUCAGGGGUUACAGGUGGAGUAAGAGCAGCAGGACACUCUGUGCUAUGUUAAUAGAAUUACCAGUACUAAAAAAACCAACAGACGUUAUAUAUAUUGUUGUAGAUUUCUUAGGAGGUCGGGUAAGACAUUCCUUAAUGAUGUGAUUGUCCUUUUUACAGUAGUUACAUAACUUUUGAAUAGUUUAAAAUAUAAUAUUCAAACUCCUUAGAACAAAGACAUUGAAUAGUGCUCAAGUCUCUACAUUUUGGCUUGUCUUGUGCUGCAUAAGGCACAAGGAUAGAGAUAGAUUUUUGUUAUUCCAUGGUGAUUUGGGUGAGAAUUCGCUGUUCCUUACAAAAUAAAGUAUUGAGACAUACAUUUAAUGAGGGGAUAGGUUCCUGGUUCAAAAGAUUAGACUUGGUGCCUUCAAACUGAAGAGAAUUAAAACCUUCAGGAGAUAAGGUAACAUAAACUAUAUUAGUAUAUUCAUCACAAAUAUUCAUAAAGUUAGAAUAAAAAUCAGAAGUAGAGAGAUUGCCCUUUUGAGGAAUGGCUAAUUCAUGUUCAAUAUGAAAUCUUCGAGCAGUGUUGUGUUGGCUAUCGAGUUUUUUCAAAUAAGUCCACAUUCAGCUGU
rnacentral:lncRNA from 1 species